AUGGUGUAUAUAAAAAUAAUAAAAAAUUUUAUUUAUUAAAAUAUAUAAUUGAUACUUUCGCAAAAAUGUUUUUCGGAACAGCUGCUUUUGUAAACCCGUGCAUUAAUGUAUUCUUUAAUGUACUCGGUUGCAGAUUUGAAAAGCUACGCCUCUCCUGGUGGUUUCCCAACGCGCCUGAGAACCGCUGUCCUCAAGAUUGCUGCGACAUAUGCUGGAAAUUUGUUCGGCGGGAAUUUACGAGCGAGUUUCCGUGUCAGAGCCAAUACCUGGGCUCUGUUAAUCGCUCUUUCACUUUGGGAAACUGGUGACCCCGGUCCUGACCUGGCUCAUCCCGAAGACGGUGUGCAGGAGCGCCUUAGCUGGGAAACAAGGGGACCAGUGGGUCUGGGUCUCUGGGCAGUCUCCGCACGGUGGAUUCCAAGGAGCUGGGUCUCGUAAUGCGAUAUAAAUGGAGGCAGGACCGGCCGAAUGAAAAGCCAACGGGCAAGUUCGGGUAGAGGAGAUACAUCAAGAUCGGGCUGACGGUUGACUCCGCGCCCGACGGGGGGGCCCCGGUAAAAACUGGAUCCCUCCCCGCCGCUCCCCGAGCCCGCGCUCCUCUCCCGUGCCUCCACACCGAGCAUAAUAAGGACAAACUUUUAAUCCCGAACUCAAUUAUAAUUUCCUCCCGCUCGCUAGACGACGCGGAAGGGGGCGGCAUUUUUGGCUGGUUGAAUAAAAUUUCGAUCCGAGAAAUGGACCUACUAUCUCGCAGUCCCGUGGUCCCGUGAUCAUUAUUAACUAAAGUCGUUUAUCACAGCCGACAGAUGUCUCGUAUAUUUCGAUUCGCGCAUGAUCCGAUUCUACCUCCGGUUAGGUGUUUGAGGUGCUUUAAUUUGUGCGAGAGGUUUGGGCGCGACAAUGGUGCUUUCGUCGAGGUUGCUCUUAGUUGAGUUGCCUAGGAAAAUAGAGUGGGCGUGUCAUCACCGAUUUCCGGCCGUAAUCAAUGCGCAUAAUCAGAGACGGUCCCAACUUUUCUCUCUCUCUCUCUCUCUCUCUCUCUCUCUCUCUCUCUCUCUCUCUCUCUCUCACUUUCUCGUUCUUUCAUCCGACAAUUCUUGAAAAACAUUCAGUGGCCAUUCGACACCCGCGCGCGCAUUAAGGAGGUCGCGCUGGAACACGAGACCCUCGAGCGAGCAUCGCGUCUCCUCUCUGUCUUGCCUUUCUUCAGGGGCACCCUGGAUAAUCCCGGGAAUCGGGAGGGCCCUUUGUGUCGCGUUUCGGGCGAGAAAAUGCUUUGUCAUCUAUGCUUCCGUCGUAUAUCGGGGGUGUGCUUGGAAGGACCUUCUCUCUCUCUCUCUCUCUCUCUCUCUCUCUGCGGCUCGGCGGUAUUAUGCCCGCCGCAUGAUCGCAAGACAGUGCCACCCGACCAGGUGUUCUAGGAUCCAAAUUGUUACAGCAUCCAGAAAUCUUUCCCGUUCCACUCGGGGUCCCGCCGGCGAACAAUGGCCGCCCCAUUCCGCGCUACGUUUUCAACGGCCGCCGCCUCGCUGUCUCUAAACGAAGGUACUUUGUCGCCGACGGCGCAACGGGGAGACGAAGAUCGUAAUCUAGUUUGUGAGACCAUCUUCGAGAAAGGGAGACUGUCUUUGUGCUUAAUAAAGUAGCAGGGGAGAGACACAUCGGGAGAGGCUCGUCGAACGCUCGGUAAAAAAAAUUUUAAACUGAAUUAUUAUUGCUUGUAUCCACGAAACGAUAAUAUUUUCUAAACGCUUUCGUGACGCUCGCGCGGAUCAUCCCCGCGCAUUAGCGUCGAACAUUGUUGGGGUAAUUGCAGAGAAAAUUACAGGUAGUCGUAAUUAUCUGCCGCGAAUGCCUACUUAGCAUUGCCGACGUAAUCUGAUCAGCCAAUCAGCAUGAAGGUGAGCUUUGAUUAUACAUUCGCAGAAGAGAUUACGAUCUGCGUGUCGAAGGUAAGCCGAUACUCCACGUGUCAGCGAAUUUCAUUAGAAUUGUUUAAUUGCGGUGGGAACGGGGGGAUGCGGGUGGGGGAGAGAGGGGUUGAUGCUCCAUUCUCGGCUCCGUUCCGCAGCUUCGCGUAGCGAUUCCCACGAGACUCGGUAUAAACACGAGGAGGUAAUAUCUUCGAUUUUCUAUCGACAUAUUACUUCCUACACGGCUAACACGCUUGGAAACAUCAGCGGACCAGUAAGCCCGCGGAGCGAGGGAGAAGGUGAGAUGACUAUCGACACCCUCGCGAUUGCAGCGCAGCGUCGCCAUUUUCAUUUCGUGUAUGUGUAUAUGAGAUAUCUCCCAUCGAUAAUGCAUCAACCGUUAGCAGCUGUCGGGAGUUACGUGAACUAAUCAACCUCGUAGCGCGAGUAUCUUCGAUUGUACCUUUGCGCGUUCCCGCAUUACAGAUAACAAAUUCAAUUUUCAGUUCAAGUCUCUUUAUUGCCGCGAACGAAAACUUACAGAGCGCGUCCUCGUACAUAAUUGUAGUGUCACACGAACCAACGUAAGGAAAGGAAAUUGUUAACUUGAUUAAAUUUUUUUUUUCAAUUCAAGUAAUUAUGCUGUAUGUAAACUAAAGUUCAAAUAUUUUAUGUAUUAAACAAUAUUUUUCUCUGCAGAAUUUGACAUCGUAAUCCAUUCAUUCGCUUUUGUCGCGGCAUAGCUUUCUCGAUAAUUUGGAAUUGUUAUGUCCAUUAUCUCGUGACUUCUUUUGUAAAAUUCCUUAUUCCACCUAGGAUUCGGCAAAAAAUUAGAACAGCAAGGAACUCAUUCAGUUGUGAAACAGUUUAAUCUACAAUGUGAUUCACACAGCCGCGGAAAGGGGUUGACGUGCGAGGGUUAAAGGGUUAACGCGUCGGGCACUCAAUGCCCGGUGGGUCGAUCUCGUUUUCUCCCGAUUUCGAGUCCUUGAGGCUUCCUCGAGCGAGGUAGGCGAGGAAACGCCGGCGUAAGUGGACAGAAAUGUAUAGCGGCAACGCGAGCUCGUAGCGCGCGCGAGGAGCGAAUCUGUCCCCACCAAGAUGCGGUUGCAGGAAGAGAAGGGGGAGGAGGUGGAAGAGGUGGCGGUGGCGGAGGACAGCGACGGCGACGGCGGCGGCGGCGGGGGAGGAGGAGGAGGAGGACCCGGUAAGGUUGGAGAAGGAGUCACGUCGCGGGCACUCUCCGCGCGUACCGAGACCCGGAGUUCUGUCUCGCGUACGCGAGAACCAAUCCCAGUAUUUGCGCUUCCUUCCUACCGCGGAUGGCGACCACCUCUUUUCAGGGGCGUAGCCGACGGCUUCCCCUUGCACCCCCUCCACCCGUGCCCCCCCUCGCCUUACGUUCCUCGUACCUCGUCCUGCCCCGUCGCCGCGGAUUUUUCGCGCGCGCCGAAUUCCGCCCCGAGCGAUGAUGAGAGGAGGCCGGUGCACACACGCUCCAUCGGCAUCCGCGAUCGAAGAAGCCGGUGACUGUACGUUUAUCGCCGGCUUAGGUGGCCUUAGGUUCGUUCAACUCCGCGUACGACUCCCAAUGCCUGACGCGACGAGAAUGACGACGAGGGGAAACGUCCGUUCCGUUUGCGAUCAGCUGAUCGCGAACGAUCUCCAAGUGUCUCGGCUGACAAUUGGGAGAUUCUCGCCGAUCGAGUCGGACGGCGACUCUUGUCAUUUCGACAGCGGGACUUUCGGCUUCGCAAUUACUUGUUACGCUGUUCAGACAGCGUAACGAUCCAUCUGUAGUUAGUUUAAAUAUUUUUUGUGCGAUCUCGAAUCCUCCGUCUUUACUGAGUGCAACCUGCACUUUCGCGCGCGAAAACGUUACAAAGACGCGACGCGAAGGCGAGCGAAACAGGCAGACAACAAAGCUGUAGAAUAGACCGCCGGAGUAUUCAGGCCGGUGACGCCGGUAGAUUUACGGGCGACUCGCCACGCAGACGAGCGCCUCUUUACGGAUUCCUGAGCUUCCACCGAUAUUAUUAGCGAUCGCGUCUUCUUUUUGAUCGUGCCUAGAGGGAGAACUUUCUUUCGAACUCGUCUUCUAUACUCUCGACCGUCACCGUCACCCUUUUUUUUUUCUUUUCGUGUAUAAUAUCGUCGAUAGGCGACGGUCUCUCCUGGAAUCCUUUUGGAAACUUUUUCCCCUUGUCAGAUCCAACUAUGUUUAAGCGAAUAUUUGGCCACGGAAGAAAUAAGAGCUUGCUUUCCUUUAUGUGCGAUUUCCCCCCUUUUUAAUCUGCUCUUUGAUACGAUAAGAAAAGAAUGUAAAUACGGUUUGAUCGUCAUUACGUCUCGUUGUUUAAUCAUUGUUUAAUUUAAGGGCGGUAAGAGAGGUAGAUCGCCUCUCGUCUGAACUUUGUUAAGAUUCACAUUUGCCGCGAACGUUCUAUCGUUAUUCGUGAAUUUAAUUACCGCCAUUUGCCGAUGGGAAUCUAUCUUUAUGAGCUAGUCCAGCGUGAAACGGAAUCUUCUUUACUUGCUACCGUGCCAUUCAUCAUUUAGUGCUUGCAAUGCCAGAAACGCAUAAUUACGGAUAAUUACAUCGGUACUAUGUACCGGAAUAAUUGUAGUCUCGCAGACCACUGCUCGCCAUCGGCACUCGCUCGAUUACCCCCCUUCGGUACGUUCGGGUUCGUAGCAACAACGAGAAUUCGCAAAGCUUUAGGCAAUUUCCAAGUAUUUUAAUAACCGGCGGUUUUCCUAUCCGCAGCAUUUUAUGCAUAACUUUAUUAUUUAUCUCUAUCGGCUCACCGCCUUGCUUUAUCGCUCGAAGGUAUUUCACGCUCUUACAACAUGCUACGAAUAUAAUUAAAGGAUAUAUGCUUGAAAUUGCACCUUACUUUUAGUAACUUCAAAUUAAUAUAAUGUGAAAAUAAUUACCUAAAUAUUUUUUCACAAAUUCUACUUAAAAAUUAAAUCCUUCGGUUUGAACUCAAAUUGUAUCGACAUUUUUGCAAUUUUUGUAGAAUUAUAUGUUACAAAGAUAUUUUAAGUUGAAUUACAGACAGUUAUAAUAUAGAGAUAUAUAUGUCGACAUUUGUAAAAACGAUUCUUAAACGAGUUUCUCCCAAAAUGCGACGUUUUCGAAGCAGGUGCCGAAAAUUCUAAAAGCCGAAUCGGGAUCGCGCGUUUCAUUUUCACGUUCACACGAGGACGAUUCGCGGCAGUUCUCGCGUGGUCUGCGGAAACCUUAUUGCCUAUUCAGACCGUGAUACCUUAACUGUCCGGGAUUCGAUGUCUACGGGCAUCGUAAAGCGAUGGUGUGCGGAGAGAGCGCGAGUUACCGGUGCCUAUCGUGUCUCUUACCGGUCGAGUAUUAUCGAGAUUGCAGGCAAGGGUAAGGCCCCCGUGUGCGGAGUCCGACGAGAGGAAAAAGCCGCGGACAAGGCGAGAGGGUAUGAAAAUGGCCGAGUAAAUGACUCCCUCGUACUUUGAUCACCGCAGUCCUCCCUCGAGAUUCCCACUAACGCUCCCGCCAAAUCUCUCUAUUUCCACGUUUUUCCGUUUCUCCCGCCCCCUUUUUUUUUCCUUACGGCAGAUUUUUUCCCCGACAGUUUCGCUUUAACGCUUUCCCCCUCCGUACGCGCGACUACGCGUACGCGAUUGAAAAUAUUGAGAUAAACGAAUCAGUGGAAACGCAGCGAAUCCGCACUUUCCACGGGCCCGGGAUCCCCGGCGUUAAUGUAUGCGAUGUAAUUAUCUUGAUCCGCGGGUCUUUACGAGCGUCCGUGAUUGCGGUGCUGCGCGCCGAUAUCCGCGCGCGUUCCGCCCGGGCUUGGAGAAUUGCACUUGGCUCUCGAUGUUUCUGCAAAUUGCACUUUGAAUGCUCUAGUUAUACGUUAGGCGCUGCAACUCUCCGGGGACGUAAGUAUGUGAGAGACCGCGGCGUCUGGGUGGAUACACCUAACUCUCCCGCCACUAAAAUCUCCUCUCGCCCUCGCCCUGAUAAUGCUAAUAAUUUACGGCGCGCGGCGGGUAAUGAAACGGAUCGCGGUUGCUCGUUAACUCCGAGCGAUAAAGUAUCGAAAUUAGUGACAUUAGGCACACCUAGUCGUCCACACGAGGCGUUUACGUUCGAGCGGCGAUAGAGUUAAAAUAAUGUCGUUUCGUGGUUGAAGAGCAUUGGCGGCGGAAAUUUAUCAUUGGUAAAUGACAGGGAGAUUUUAUUAGAUAAGAUCCUAACAAAAUGUAUACGCUUUAGGAUUUACAUUCCCUAUUUAAGAAAGGAAGAUAAAGGGCUUUAUCUCCAUCCUUCCCUUCCCUCGCAAGGGGAGGGGGGGGAGGGAAGGGGGAAUGUAUUCCAGAUCGACGGUCAUGUAAGUCGCUUCGAAGAAGGGAAAUUGGAAACCUGGAGCAGAUACUUUGGAAAUAGCAGAAAGGAUUGAUACGAGAAUGCUUUCGAUUUUCCUUAACAAGCUCCGUACAAUCCUUCGCUCGUACAUUUAUAUGGGGGGAAUGUAUCUCUUUAUCCCCGAGGGCGGGAUAUGCGCGAGAUACGUAUCUCCGGGUUAUUAAUGUAUGUUUACAGACCCGUUUCACUACGAUUUCGUUCGGCCGGAGAAUUAAGCGAGAGAUCCUCAAGUUAUCCCGAAAAAUGUCUCAUAAUAACGGUUCUCAUGCCUUCGCGCACCGUUACGAAGGCGACAAAAGUCGAUUAAUUCGCGCAACAGAUGAUUGACUUUAUUUGAAAUGAUGAAGUUCAAUUUUGAUCUAAUUGAGGUGACCUAAACGCUCGUGUUUCCGUCUCUAACGUGCGGCACGAGAUAAGAGGAGAUUAGUUAAAGUUAAGUCAACCGACGUAGAACCGGUCAUCAGCGAAGCGUCGUCGAAAUGAUUGAUCGUUAAAUAACUGUUAUUAAUACUGGCUAUAAAACAUCCCGGGCCUCGUCGUUAGCGUCGGGCAAUAAUUCUCUGUUUGAUAAGAGUGUCACAACCUUGCCAAGCUAAUCUGUCAGCCUCAAGAAGACUCCGCGUUCUACCUCGUCGGAUCCACGCCGAUCCUCGGCCUUAUUUAUCGAAUAACACGCAACCUUCGUAUCUAAAGCUCUCCCUUCUUUCGUACAGUUGAGUAUCGCUGUUGGUAAGAAUGAGUCCGUAUUGAUCACACUUGAGAGACCUCGGCUUCUCCCUCCAUUCCCCCUCAGCCCCCAACGGAGAUAUGAAUUCCUAAUAUACGGAGGCCUCCCCCCCUCCCCCUUUACCCUCCUCCCUCCUCACGUACCAUGCCUUCGAAUCUCCUAUCGACGGCGGGAAGCUCGAAAAACUUAGUUACGUCUGGCGUCUCUGGCCACGAUCCAACGGCAAUCACAGCCAUCUUUAAUUCCUUUCUUCUGUCUAGCGGAUGACUUAUACCCCAAAAAAGAUUCCUUCCUAUGGUCCUGGCGUGAAAAGAAGCACACUUCUAAGGCUCUCUUAUGCUUGGUCUCGCAUUUUAUAAUGAUUCAUAUUACUUCGCCUCGUAAGUGUUAAUGAUCGACUGUGCCGCAAAAGAAAUUAUAAUAACGCGCUCCAGAAAUAGAUUGAACUUUUUUCCAACAAUCGAUUCAAUAUUUCCUUUGUAAAAUCAAUUUAUGUGCAAGACAAUCGCCAUUUCUUUUUAUUUUAGGUAAUAUAAUAAAUUGCUAACUAAUUGUUCUGUUUUUUUUAACAAUAUCCAAAAAAAGAUUAAAAAUUUGGAUAUUUUCUUUUUGAUGAGAUGUGUCGAGGCACUGCGUUUAUUUUUUUUCUGGAUCGUAGCGUAUAAUUUACAGACUUGUGUCACGCCGGUAUUGUAAUAACGGCGCCGGUGAAUUAUCCAAAUAAUUGCUGAGAGGAACCUGCCGCAGAAACAAUAAUGCGACGACCGGAUCGUCAUUACCGGCCCGUGGAGUUAUUAUAAGCGAGUUAGGACAGUACGGCGGAUCGUUAAGUUUCUCGUCGCAUCGAGGGAAAAAGACGCGGUUGACGUUGGAAAAGCGGUUGAAAAUUGUUGGCAACUAAAUGACAUACAGUUGAUUGGCGACAAAAUAAGAAAAACAGCGAUUGCGAUCGAUCUCAUGUGAUUUUCGCAAACUGUCUUUUAAUGGCUCGUUAUAUUGUAUUAAUAUCUUGGAUUAAUGAUCAACAUUUAUAAUGAUCUUGUUAUUAAAGAAAUGCAGACGAGAAUUUGUGUACUUCAAGUCAAGAAAAAAGAGGUAUUUUUAUUUGUGAGUCAUAAAUAAGAUGGACCAAAUAAGGCUCACUUAAUUAAUUUUAUUUUUUAAAAACUCUAUUAACAUUUCAUAAAAAAAUAUAUUUGAAAUAAAUUAAAUGAGCCUUUUUCAAAACCAAAAUCUUAUUUUUUAAUAAUGAAUUGUAAUGAUAAAACAAUACACAGAAAUUGUAUUUCUUUUAUAAAGACAGCGUCUCUUGGUAAUAAUCCUAGUAGCACAAAACAUUGGCGCAAUAUUGGGUAGUAAUAUAAAGGCAAUAUUUCCAAUAUUGGUCCAGUAUUGUAAAAUAGACGCUUCACCUUAUUUAGCCAAUUUGUCUAAGCAGUAAUAUUGGUUCAAUAUUGGUUCAACAUUGGGCCAAUGUUGAACCAAUCAAUUUUUUGUAUUAGACAUUGGUUGCAUUCUAAUUUGCAACCAAUAUUUUAUGACCAAUAUUGGCGUUGCAUUGAGAAAACAUUGGCCAAUACAUUCCUAAUAUAACUAAUGUUUAGUCAAUAUUAGCCAAUGUACUGUCAAUGUAUUGUGCUACUAGGGAAUCAUCUCUAUACUUCUUGUUCCUGGAGUACCACUGUAUUUUCUGAUUAUUUAAGGCUCAACUCGUAACUGAAUAUCCAGUGUAAGAAACGGAUUACCCGAUACUACUGUCGCAAACUGAAGAUUGCCACAACUAGUGCCUUGUGGAGCAACGUUGUCGAGCGAGACCGAUUCGUUAAGUAUCCUUCUUGCUGUUAGAAAUGUCACGAUCUCCCUUCUCGCCCCUCCUCGGGACGGUGCCGCCCUUCGCCCUUAAGUACAAGGGCGGCCGUUUGAAAUCGUCCGCGGAGUUAUUUUAUAAUUCACGUCGCUUGGUCACGCGGUACCGAGGCUUGCCUGUAACUAACCGUAUUUACGGUAUAGACAGCUGCGGGGCAAUGGCGAACAACUAUGUGCCGACGUCACGUACGGCCCGCGACGACGAGGCCCGUCGUACCUUCCAUGUCAUAACUUGGAAAAUAGCGUUUCCACGUUCGUACAAGGCAAGAGAAGGACGCUCGGUUUAAACAACGCAUUAUGACAAACUUGGUAGAAUUUGGCAAAAUUGUGUCAAAUAGCUUUCUUAAUUUUUAGAGACAGUUGUUGUCUUAACUAAAAUUAUUAAUCAAACUGAGCGAUUAAUAAGAUAAGAAUAAAUUAAUACACCUGAGCAAUAUCUUCUUUCAAACCAAUUAAGUGGUAUUUCACGUUCACCUUCGAGUCGCAGAGACAAAUUACAAUUCUCCAAUUAAUUCUGAAAGUAAUUUCUGUUUCGAUUUAAAAUCCAUUGUCGUCCAACGGAGAUUCUAUAAUUGAUCUUUUUUUUUUUGCAUCGGAAUGACGCGAGAUGAACCUCUUUGUCUACAAAUCUCUCGUUAGAGGCUCCCGCCACGAGGAUCGUUCCGCGGCGCGGCGGGACCAGCUUCGCCCAUCGUGAAUGGCGGUGUGGAAUGCGGUAAAGCAAAUAGGCUCCUCUCGCGGGCGAAUAGCUAAUUACGCUUCUUGGCAUUCCUGUUUCUGGUUAGGUGAGCCGGAGCCGCAGAGCUAGCCAAGCCCGGCAAGAUAGUCAGCGGCGAGGCGCGCCGCGCGAGGAAUUACAAGCUAAUCCUCGACUCGUAGGAGGACACGAGCGACCGCGGUCACCCGGGGAAGACGAGGGGAAUCUCUCUCUCUUUCUCUUUCUUGCCGUGCCCUCUCCACCCUUUCUUCCACCCUCGCCCUCGUCCUCCUCCACCUUAUUCCUCAUCGUCCACCACGGGCGUUCCGCGUCUCGUGCGCCUCGGCUCGCCGCGCCGCCGCUCCUCCCUCCCCCGGCGUAAUGGCGUUGUUUAAUGUUUAAUCAUACCCGACUGUGCGCUCGCAGUAUAAUCAGAGUAUAAUUCAGACAACAACAUCAACCACCGUCGACCACCGCCGACAAGUCUGUCGGUGAGUCCCGAGGUCCGGUCGAGCUGCGGUCGUCAGCGGAGUGAUCCCGGGGUAUCAAGCCAGGCAUCGACGCCACAUCAGCCGACCCUACGUGUGCCUCUUUACCUUGGCCUACCAGAUCCUUUUCAGAGUUCGUGAUGAUAGAACCGCGAAUUACGCGUGUACUCUAUGUGCCUAAGAAAUUCAAUCUUGCGUGAGCGGUAGUAGAAUACUGACAGUUAACUUCCGAAAAUGUAACACACGCGACGUUUCCAAUACAGUCGUACGUUUCACGGACGCGGAUUAUAAUAAAGUGGGAUAUAAAUUAAAUCCCGGCUCAAACGUAAGUGUGUUAAUUUGGAAGAUUAUCCGAGUAAAAUGUGCUCGCCGGAUCCGUGUGAUAUCUGGCUCGCUAUCGGAGCGAGAUAUUGAUAAUAAAUUUUUUCCAAAUCGCGGAGGACAGAUGAAUAAAUUCGAGGGUCCUGCUCGUCUGUAAGACACCUUUGCAAUAUUUCAACUGUUGAAAAAUAGUUUAUACCCACAUCGCCCGCUCCUCAAAUUACGCAGAGAGACGGCUAAUCCAAUUGGAAAUGUAAAUAUAACCAGCCAUUCAUUUUUGCAAACCGCGCAAAUAUGUUCCCCCGUGUCAUUUCCAUGCUGAUUCAUUCUCGCAGGCCGCCGCGUGUACCGUUAACUUUCUGAUUUACUAAGUAUAUUUGAGAUCGUCUUUAUAUAAUCGGCUUUCACAUAUCAAGGAUCGGGACGGUUUCUAGUAAUUAGCGAUCGAUCGUUUUUGCGAGGCGUAGCGGAGCGGCGCGCAUUCAGACGCUAAACGACCGGGCCUCCCCCCCCCCCCACCUUUUUUUUACUUCGGGGGGGGGCCCCAAGGCCCCGGGUACUUGCCUCGUGCCGAGUCAUGCGUGGAACUCCCAGGCAUCAUUGCCAUAACUCGUCGUGCCAAGUUGCCUUCGCGGAGUUUAUGGCACCGUCGUCGUCGUCGUUUCUCGCGCGCACUCACUCCCGGCGGCGCUCGUAACAAUUCGGUCGCCGCCGCAUCCCCGACGCGCACAAUCACGGUUCGUAUUUCCAGUGCCAAAUCCGGCACUGUGCUGCCGCUCGGCGCGCGCGACCGGCGGGUCCCGAGAAUUUAUGCGCUCGAAGCGCGAAUCUCUUCGUGCCGUAUUGUCGGCUUGAGAGAUCGGGGAAAAAAAAAAGCGUUCAAUUACUCACGCGGGCGACGUGAUCCAAGGCACUCGACAGCGACAUACGUUAACAAACACAAAGGCAACAACAAUCGAGAUCGUUUUCUCUCAUUGAAAUUUAUAAAAUCCAAAUGUUAUCGCCAAGAUUUUUAAGACUCGCUUUUCUUUUCUUAUCUGAUUAGAUUUCGAACAAUAAUUCAAGUCUUAUAAGGGGGGCUCGGAAAUUGAUUCCCGAAAGUCCGUCGGUCGCGCACCGCAGACGUUUCUUCAAUCGCGGCCGAAACGAGGUGAUGAUAUGUGGGCCGAAAUGUAGCCUCGUGUCACGAGGACGCCUCUACCGGAGGGAUCGGCGUGGCUCGACGACGGUUGGAAAUAACGUGGCACAUUAUAGCGAGGCAUUAGAGUGGCCGGUAGCCGACCGGCGAGUUUUUUGCCGGAUUCCAGUAGCGCCUUCGACAAACACCGAGGAGGAGUGGAAGAGAACCCCGCGCUUCCUCCGCUACUUUUACUAGACAUUAUCCACGACCGAGAGGGAGGGGGGAGGGGGGAGGGCUAUCUCGUGACUCUCGUCGUCCGCUGAAGCCCGCGCGCACGGCACCAGGCCGAGGGUCCAGAAGAAACCCGCCUUCGGAGGCAUCUCUGCCGGCCUGUGCCUCUAUGUCUGCGGAGAAAGUGACGUGCGCUGGCACCGGUCCCCGGACUCACUUCUGCCGCGUAUGAGAGCGAAUCGAUACUUUACGGCGCGUCUACGGACGCCUCCCCUUUCCCCCGGGAUGACGCAACGCCGUGGCGUGUACACGCGGUACACAGAGGAAAACGAAAGUCACGAAUCUUUUCAGCGUGCUCGUCCGCGUCUAUUCUUCCAUGAGCAGCGAACCGUAACUCCGAGUAAACAGUAAUCUAACUUGUUCAUAAGAGAGCAGAUUGAUUCGAAACCUAAUUAAAAGUUAUCACAAUGUGCGCGUCGCACGUCAAAUGCCGUCGUAAGCUUUUUUUUUUAAAUUUAUCGUCACGAAUAGAAAUUAAGUGAUUACCCACACAGCAAAAUUGAUCCCGGGAUCAUCUCGAUUUUAUCCCAUUUUUGUCCUGGCAAGAUAAAACGUCUUAUGGUUGUCCAUAGGAGCUCUCAGUAAGAGCUCUCGUCCUGCUCAAGAUCAAUGCGGGACGGUUUAAAGAUAUCCCGUUGUAACAGCAAAUAGACGAGCAAAGCGUACUCUCCAGAGGACAUCCAUAAGAGCUCUCAAUAAGAUCUCGUUCUGCUCAAGAUCAAUGCGGGACGGUUUAAAGAUAUCCCGUUGUAACAACGAAUAGACGAGCAAAGCGUACUCUCCAGAGGAUAUCCAUAAGAGCUCUCAAUGAGAUCUCGUCCUAUUCAAGAUCAAUGCGGGACGGUUUAAAGAUAUCCCGUUGUAACAGCAAAUAGACGAGCAAAGCGUACUCUCCAGAGGACAUCCAUAAGAGCUCUCAAUAAGAUCUCGUUCUGCUCAAGAUCAAUGCGGGACGGUUUAAAGAUAUCCCGUUGUAACAACGAAUAGACGAGCAAAGCGUACUCUCCAGAGGACAUCCAUAAGAGCUCUCAGUAAAAUCUCGUCCUAUUCAAGAUCAAUGCGGAAUGGUUUAAAGAUAUCCCGUUGUAACAACGAAUAGACGAGCAAAGCGUACUCUCCAGAGGACAUCCAUAAGAGCUCUCAAUAAGAUCUCGUUCUGCUCAAGAUCAAUGCGGAAUGGUUUAAAGAUAUCCCGUUGUAACAACGAAUAAACGAGCAAAGCGUACUCUCCAGAGGACAUCCAUAAGAGCUCUCAGUAAAAUCUCGUCCUACGCAAGAUCAAUGCGGGACGGUUUAAAGAUAUCCCGUUGUAACAGCGAAUAGACGAGCAAAGCGUACUCUCCAGAGGACAUCCAUAAGAGCUCUCAGUAAAAUCUCGUCCUACGCAAAAUCAAUGCGGGACGGUUUAAAGAUAUCCCGUUGUAACAGCGAAAGAUGAGCAAAGCGUACUCUCCAGAGCACAUCCAUAGGAGCUCUUAAUAAGAUCUCGUCCUACUCAAUGCGGGAUGGUUUAAAGAUAUCCCGUUGUAACAGGGAAUAGACGAGCAAAGCGUACUCUCCAGAGGACAUCCGUAGGAGCUCUCAGUAAAAUCUCGUCCUACUCAAGCUCAAUGCGGGACGAUUAAAAGAUAUCCCAUUGUAACAGGGAAUAGAGCAAAGCGUACUCUCCAGAGGACAUCCGUAGGAGUUCUCAGUAAGAUCUCGUCCUACUCAAGCUCAAUGCGGGACGGUUUAAAAAUAUCCCGUUGUAACAGCAAAUAGACGAGCAAAGCGUACUCUCCAGAGGACGUCCAUAGGAGCUCUCAGGAACAUAAAAAUGUGACAAUUACGACAAUAUUACACUUAUUGAAACAAUAUAUUAACAAUAUUAAAAAUUAUAAAAAAUGACAUCUAGUUCUUAUUUUUUUUAUUUUAUUUUACCCAAACAGAGCAAACACAGAUCUUUUUAUAAGUUUUCAUCAUAUUUCACAUCUUAUUUCGCAUACGUAAAAUUAAUAAAAAACUGUAAAACUUUAUAUUUAUUUAUAAAAAAAAAA